CACCGUGGACAUUUAAUCAAAGAAAACAGUAGGAUUCUGGUUGCCCCAUAUUCUUAUAAAUCUCCUUGAUGGAAUAUGAUGCAACCUUUGAAGACGUGAUUAUAAUAAAGAAUAUGUCAAAACAGGGAGGAAAUACUUCUGAUGAAAACAUCAAGUGAGAAGGAGGAUAUAAACGAUGCAAACCAAGAUGACCACAUUCUGAAACCAUGCACAGAAGAGAAUUACAUGAGCAAUCCCUGAAGGACGAGAGUGAUUUCGUUGGAAUGUGGGUUUGGCCUGAAUGAAGCCACCAGACAGCUGUCCUCUGGGAACACAAGAGACGGGACAAACGCCAUCCACUGCACAGGAUCGCACGCAAGCUGGGUCAGUUGGUCCGCUGCAGACCACAGUCCCGGAGCAGCCCCCCAUGUGUGAAGUAGCUUCCUGCCCUCAGCCUGCAAGUAUCCAAUUUGCCAUCAGAAAAGACGACUUCUAUUUUUUCUUUUGUAUUCUGAUAAACAUUGAAGAAUCUGGAGCUGUUAAAUUUAUCAUGGGGAAACUUCAGAACUAGUUUAUUUAGUGUUGUGGAACCUCUUGCUGUUUUCAAUACACGAAAAUAAUCAACUGUUUUGUAUAAUUAUUUUCAGUUUUCAUUUAGACAAGCACUGUAAUUAGAAUACAGUCUUAACCAUUUUUUAAAAAAAAGAGAAAAUACAAGGAAAGAAUGAAAACAAAGUUUGUGUAAAUGUGUAAGUGUGGAAGGGAAGAAGGAUUGAGGGAGGAGAGGGGAAUGGAGAAAAAAGAACUGAAUUUUAUGCACAGGUACAAGUCCCUAUUGAUAAAUGUAAUCAUUAUGUUUGACAAAUAUGUAUUAAUAAAAAGAAUAAAGUUUAAAAAUAAAUAAGUACAUUUUUAAAAAA